UACAGAGGUCUCAAGCGUUUGUUCGGAUUCAUUGGGCGUAAAGGGUGCGUAGGUGGCGCCGUAAGUCGGGUGUGAAAUUUCGGAGCUUAACUCCGAAACUGCAUUCGAUACUGCGGUGCUUGAGGACUGGAGAGGAGACUGGAAUUCAUGGUGCAGCAGUGAAAUGCGUAGAGAUCAUGAGGAAGACCAGUGGCGAAGGCGGGUCUCUGGGCCGUAACUGACGCUGAGGAGCGAAAGCGUGGGGAGCGAACAGG
rnacentral:rRNA from 1 species